CUGCUACUAUCAUUAUCAUUACUGUUAUUAUUACUACUCACAGUUAUUUCCAUCAUCUCGCCAGUCAGUUGAAAACGAGGCUUUGGAAUGAUAUUUAAACAUGGCUGUCUCCUGAUCAGUAAGGUUCACGACUAAAACAACUAAAUGACGGGUUAAAGGGGAGGCUAAAUGACCAGCAAUGUCAGCUGUGGCCAUUUUAACAUGUACACCAAAUUCACACCCAUUCCUAGCAAGGCACAUAACUCUUCAUGAACCAGUCAAAGUGGGUAGAUCUGUUGCUAGGGCACGUCCAUCACCCAGCAAUGGCACAUUUGACUGCAAAGUUCUGUCAAGGAACCAUGCUAUUCUCUGGUACAAGAAUGGAAAGGACAGAUCCGGCUAUUGG